rnacentral:rRNA from 1 species
AAACCGCUUAGGGGUUAAACCCGAUGAACCCGAAUAUCUGAAAUGGAAAAUUCAGUAAUGUUUUUCGAUGUACCAUCGUGUACGCCGAACGUUAUGCACUUUUUCCAUAGUAAGACAUUGCAAUUUAUUAGCAUAUAUCAAUUGAUCUUUCGUAUCAAUUGGUUACAUUUAUUAUAAGGCCCUAUACGGUAAGUUUAUGCUAAUGUACGCAAGUGCAUGGCGUAAGACCGUACUGGUGUUCCCUAAUAAAUGGCUGAUAAAUUCAUAAUCGUAAAUAGCACAGGCAUGCCGUUAAACGCAUGUAAGUCACGGUACAUGUCCACUUCGGUGGCUUGUGCGCACGUGUUUGUGUUCUAUUUGAUUUGCAAUGCGAUAGAUUUGGGAUACCUUCGGGACCCGUCUUGAAACACGGACCAAGAAGUCUAACAUGUGUGCGAGUCAUUGGGUAUAUGUGUGAAACCUAAAGGCGAAAUUAAAAUGACUAUCAUUUGUGAAAUGGGAUUACAAGCGUCCAAAAUUCAUUUUGGCGUUUCUCCAUCCCGGGGCGUUCAUAUAUAAACAUGGUGCAAGCAAUUGUGCUCUCUGUUUGUGAGCGUACCUUGAGCAUACAUGCUGU